rnacentral:rRNA from 1 species
CCCUUAGAUGUCCUGGGCCGCACGCGUGCUACACUGACACUUACACCGAGUUUUUCCAAUGCCGAAAGGCCAUUGGUAAUCAGCAAUAAGUGUCGUGAUGGGGAUAGAUCUUUGGAAUUAUUGAUCUUGAACGAGGAAUGCCUAGUAAUCGUAGGUCAUCAGCCUGCGAUGAUUACGUCCCUGCCCUUUGUACACACCGCCCGUCGCUCCUACCGAUUUCGAGUGGUUCGGUGAACCUUUCGGACCGGCAAUGCCUCGUGUUGCGCCGGAAAGUCAAGUAAACCAUAUCACUUAGAGGAAGGUGAANUCGUANCA